rnacentral:rRNA from 1 species
AGGACGAACGCUGGCGGCGUGCUUAACACAUGCAAGUCGAGCGGAAAGGCCCUUCGGGGUACUCGAGCGGCGAACGGGUGAGUAACACGUGAGAAACCUGCCCUUAGCUUCGGGAUAGCUCCGGGAAACCGGAAUUAAUACCGAAUAUGACUUUGGCUGACAUCAGCAGAAGUGGAAAGUUUUUCGGCUAGGGAUGGACUCGCGGCCUAUCAGCUAGUUGGUGAGGUAACGGCCCACCAAGGCGACGACGGGUA